GGGAUGAGGCCUUUGGGCUGUAAACCUCUUUUCUCAAGGAAGAAGAUCUUACGGUACUUGAGGAAUAAGCCACGGCUAAUUCCGUGCCAGCAGCCGCGGUAAUACGGGAGUGGCAAGCGUUAUCCGGAAUUAUUGGGCGUAAAGCGUCCGCAGGCGGCCGUUUAAGUCUGUUGUUAAAUCGUGGAGCUUAACUCCAUCACGGCAAUGGAAACUGUUCGGCUUGAGUAUGGUAGGGGCAGAGGGAAUUUCCGGUGUAGCGGUGAAAUGCGUAGAUAUCGGGAAGAACACCAUUGGCGAAAGCGCUCUGCUGGGCCAUUACUGACGCUCAUGGACGAAAGCCAGGGGAGCGAAAGGGAUUAGAUACCCCUGUAGUCCUGGCCGUAAACGAUGAACACUAGAUGUUGGGGGAAUCGACCCCUUCGGUGUCGUAGCUAACGCGUUAAGUGUUCCGCCUGGGGAGUACGCACGCAAGUGUGAAACUCAAAGGAAUUGACGGGGGCCCGCACAAGCGGUGGAGUAUGUGGUUUAAUUCGAUGCAACGCGAAGAACCUUACCAAGGCUUGACAUCCUGCGAAUCUCCAAGAAAUUGGAGAGUGCCUUCGGGAACGCAGUGACAGGUGGUGCAUGGCUGUCGUCAGCUCGUGUCGUGAGAUGUUGGGUUAAGUCCCGCAACGAGCGCAACCCACGUUUUUAGUUGCCAGCAUUCAGUUGGGCACUCUAGAAAGACUGCCGGUGACAAACCGGAGGAAGGUGUGGACGACGUCAAGUCAUCAUGCCCCUUACGCCUUGGGCUACACACGUACUACAAUGCUGCGGACAAAGAGUAGCGACCUUGCGAAAGUUAGCUAAUCUCGUAAACCGUGGCUCAGUUCAGAUCGUAGGCUGCAACUCGCCUACGUGAAGGAGGAAUCGCUAGUAAUCGCAGGUCAGCAUACUGCGGUGAAUACGUUCCCGGGCCUG
rnacentral:rRNA from 1 species